UGCCCAGCAACUCCUAUGCCUAUCUCCUCGUGGUACCGGCCGGAAACUAUGAGCAGCGAAGAUCGAGUAACCAACCCCGGUGGGAACUUUGGUCAUAGGCUGACAGGGAAGG
rnacentral:ribozyme from 1 species